CUCGUAGGCCGCUCUGUAAGUCGGAAGUGAAAGACCACGGCUCAACCGUGGAAACGCUUUCGAAACUGUGGAGCUUGAGGCCGGGAGAGGAGAUCGGAAUUCCUGGUGUAGCGGUGAAAUGCGUAGAUAUCAGGAGGAACACCCGUGGCGAAGGCGGAUCUCUGGACCGGUUCUGACGCUGAGGAGCGAAAGCUAGGGGAGCAAACAGGAUUAGAUACCCUGGUAGUCCUAGCUGUAAACGAUGGGCACUAGGUGUGGGGGGAUCGACCCCUUCCGUGCCGCAGUUAACGCAUUAAGUGCCCCGCCUGGGGAGUACGACCGCAAGGUUGAA
rnacentral:rRNA from 1 species